UUGUAAUUGUAGGGGUAUGAUCUGCAAGAACAAAAUAGAUUAUGAAACUCAUUGUGGUAAUUGCUGUAUAAUAAGUGAAGCUGUGAUGAAAGUCUUUAUACAAAAAAUUGAAUUCCUUUCCAUAGUCCACUUUAUUUACUGAUCAGCAAUACAUUGCUUUCACCCAUGAUUUUCUCCAGUUCAUCAAACCAUAUGCAGUCAACCUACCAACUCAAAACAAGCAUAAAAGUAGAAAUAUGCCUACAAGUACGUACAAAUUUUAGCAUAAUUUCAGGGAAAUAUUAAUGAUAUUGAACAGAAAAUCUUCUAAACUAUAACCAGUAGUAGUUCAAAUAUCCACUUUUAUUGUAAAUCAGACGUUCAGUACACAAACAGAGCCAAAAUUCAUCCUAUUCUUUCACAGUUUGUAGUCAGUAAACUUACAAUAUAUUAUGUUCUUUGUUAUUUCCUGGUAAGGAUGUCCUUAUUUGGAAUAUUAGGCAGUAGUUCUGCUUCUUUUUGUUGAAUCCUAUAUAUGUAAAUGAAAUUUGAUAAUGUGAUCAUCAAAUCUAUCACUAACAGAGCUAAUAAUAAAAGCGCACCUUUUGUCUAUGGGAAUUAGACUG
rnacentral:misc_RNA from 1 species